AUUGUGCUAAGUGAAAGAAGCCAGUCACAAAAGACCACUCAUUGUGUAAUUCCAUUUAUAUGAAAUGUUUAGAGAAGGCAAAUCCAUAGACACAGAAAGUAGAUUAGCAGUUGCCAGGGCUGGUGAGGCAGGGGAGGCAGGCUAGGGGGAAAUGUGGAGGGACUGCUAAUGGGUGCAGGGUUUCUUUUAGGGGUGAUGAAAAUGUUCUAAAAUUAAUUGUGGGCCGGGCACCGUGGCUCACACCUGUAAUGCCAGCACUUUGAGAGAGGUCGAGGCGGGCAGAUCACUUGAGGUCAGGAGUUUGAGACUAGUCUAGCCAACAUGGUGAAACCCGUCUCUACUAAAAAUACAAAAAUUAGCCAGGCGUGGUGGUGUGUGCCUGUAGUCUCAGCUACUUGGGAGGCUGAGGCUGGAGAAGCACUUGAACCUGGGAGGCAGAGGUUGCAGUGAGCUGAGAUCAUGCCACUGCAA
rnacentral:lncRNA from 1 species